rnacentral:lncRNA from 1 species
AUAAUAUAUAUUUUUAUUUUUUAAAUAAUAAAUUAAUUAAUUAUUAGAUAAUGUAGGAUAUAUAUUAUAGAACUGUUAUAACCAAUAAUUCUUCCAUGGUGAUUGGUGAUAUCGUGCGGUGACGAUUCUACAAUAGGAAGUGCCCUCCUCCUUGCUGGUAUUUCCAUCCACAUAGUGCAUAGGGAUGGUAAUCGAGUCGGGUCGGGCUAUAAACGGG